GCACCGUUUUCCGAUCAUUCCUCGCUUUUCCUUGUACACGUCCCGUCUGUGUGUGGGAGGAAAGUUUGCUACGAAUUUGGAAGAACAUGCGUAUGUAACAAUACAAUAAGAUCACACUUGCCAAGCCCAGGAAUACAGACGUAUAGGCUAUGCUAUAGAUAUGGAACUUAUUUAACCAAGCAGGCGACACUGCGUCAUCGUACAUCCAAAAUAGAGGCACCAACGCCAGUACCAAAGCCAGAAGCCAAACUGUGGUUAAUAUCUUUCUGUAUGUACCACGAGUCGAAACCCUGAGCCUCUGAAACGGAUGGAGGACGGCUAAGUAUUUUUCGAGUGUCAAAGCAACUAUGUGAAUUAUCGUAGAAAAAUCUAAUAAGUUUUUGACCAAAUAGUUCGCGCGACAGAAAUCGACAAAGGUUUCGCUUACGGGCGCAUAUUUGGUCCACUGGUUUUCGCAAAAUAUCAAAAUGG